GAUGAACGCUAGCGGCAGGCCUAACACAUGCAAGUCGAGGGGCAGCACAGAAACAGCAAUGUUUUGGUGGCGACCGGCGGACGGGUGCGUAACGCGUAUGCAACCUACCUUUAACAGGGGGAUAACGGAGAGAAAUUUCCACUAAUACCCCAUAACCUCGAUCAAGGCAUCAUGAUUGGGUGAAAACUCCGGACAUUAAAGAUGGGCAUGGGUUGUAUGAGGUAGUGGGUGAGGUAAUGGCUCACCAAGCCUACGAUAACUAGGGGGACUGAGAGGUUAGCCCCCCACACUGGUAAUGAGACACGGACCAGACUCCUACGGGAGGCAGCAGUGAGGAAUAUUGGUGAAUGGGGGCAACCCUGAACCAGCCAUGCCGCGUGCAGGAAGACGGCUCUAUGAGUUGUAAACUGCUUUUAAACAGGGAUAAAGCACAGUAUGUAUACUGUGUUGAAGGUACUGUAAGAAUAAGGAUCGGCUAACUCCGUGCCAGCCGCCGCCGUAA
rnacentral:rRNA from 1 species